UCCGACCCGGCGGCCAACACCAGUAAGCUACAAGGAGGAGCUUUCCCACUGCCUGUGCUACUACUACCGGCGCGACUUCCCAGCCUGCAGCGUAGGGCGCAGCAAGGGCCUGACGCUGAGCGAGCAGGCGCUGCACACCAAGCGGUUGUCGCCUGGCGGGCACAAACAGAAGGUCAGACAAGGGCAGCAUGUGUGAAGACUGCGG
rnacentral:lncRNA from 1 species